UACGAAGGGGGCUAGCGUUGCUCGGAAUUACUGGGCGUAAAGCGUGCGUAGUCGGUAUUGAGAGUCGCGGGUGAAAUCCCAGGGCUUAACCCUGGAACUGCCUGCGAGACCUCAGUACUAGAGUGUGAGAGGGGAUAGUGGAAUACCAAGUGUAGCGGUGAAAUGCGUAGAGAUUUGGUGGAGCACCGGUGGCGAAGGCGGCUAUCUGGCUCACAACUGACGAUCAGGCACGAAAGCGUGGGGAGCAAACAGG
rnacentral:rRNA from 1 species